rnacentral:rRNA from 1 species
GUUGUAUGGUUAAGUGACUAAGCGUACACGGUGGAUGCCUUGGCAGUCAGAGGCGAUGAAAGACGUAGUAACUUGCGAUAAGCCCAGAUUAGGUAGUAACAACCAUUUGAGUCUGGGAUUUCUGAAUGGGGAAACCCACGUGCAUAAGCACGUAUCCUUACCUGAAUACAUAGGGUAAGGAGGCGAACCGGGGGAACUGAAACAUCUAAGUACCCCGAGGAAAAGAAAUCAACCGAGAUUCCGAAAGUAGCGGCGAGCGAAAUUGGACUAGCCCUUAAGCUUUACACGCGUUAGACGAACGGUCUGGAAAGUCCGACGAUACAGGGUGAUAGUCCCGUAGUUGACGACGUGUGUUCAGUGAAAUCGAGUAGGGCGGGACACGUGAUAUCCUGUCUGAAUAUGGGGGGACCAUCCUCCAAGGCUAAAUACUACUGACUGACCGAUAGUGAACCAGUACCGUGAGGGAAAGGCGAAAAGAACCCCUGUGAGGGGAGUGAAAUAGAACCUGAAACCGUGUACGUACAAGCAGUAGGAGCAGGCUUUGUCCUGUGACUGCGUACCUUUUGUAUAAUGGGUCAGCGACUUAUAUUCAGUGGCAAGGUUAACCAUCUAGGGGAGCCGUAGGGAAACCGAGUCUUAACUGGGCGUUCAGUCUCUGGAUAUAGACC